AGUGAACGCUGGCGGUAGGCCUAACACAUGCAAGUCGAACGGCAGCACAGUAAGAGCUUGCUCUUACGGGUGGCGAGUGGCGGACGGGUGAGGAAUACAUCGGAAUCUACUUUUUCGUGGGGGAUAACGUAGGGAAACUUACGCUAAUACCGCAUACGACCUACGGGUGAAAGCAGGGGAUCUUCGGACCUUGCGCGAUUGAAUGAGCCGAUGUCGGAUUAGCUAGUUGGCGGGGUAACGGCCCACCAAGGCGACGAUCCGUAGCUGGUCUGAGAGGAUGAUCAGCCACACUGGAACUGAGACACGGUCCAGACUACUACGGGAGGCAGCAGUGGGGAAUAUUGGACAAUGGGCGCAAGCAUGAUCCAGCCAUACCGCGUGGGUGAAGAAGGACUUCGGGUUGUAAAGCCCUUUUGUUGGGAAAGAAAAGCAGCAGGUUAAUACCCCGCUGUUCUGACGGUACCCAAAGAAUAAGCACCGGCUAACUUCGUG
rnacentral:rRNA from 1 species